GUAUAGUGACUAUAGAAGUAUAAAGGGUCCGUGUGGGAUUUGCAUGCUUUAUUGUACACUAAGUGGGGCUUAUUGGAUUAGGGAUUUCAUAAAAAUUUAGGUUUUUUUCAAAUCCUCCAUUAUUGAAUAUGAUAUUUAUAAAAACCUUUACAAAUCUAAGGUUAUUGGAAAUAGCAUUUAUAAAAAUCCUAUCAAAUCUCCUCUUAUUGAAAAAUAUGGAUUUUGAAAAAUAUGGAUUUUAUCAAAGGGAUUCAUAAAAAGUUCUUUUGGGUAAUUAAAAAACAUCAUUUUCCCUUUAAAUUCAAUAAGAGAGAAUACCAUCUACAUAGAUGGUAUUUUAAAAAAAUCAACGAGAAGAGAUUAUUGACGUGUCAGAUUAUUCAAAAACCCUAUUCUUCUUCGUUCUAUUUUUACGUGGAAGAAGAAGCUUGAGUUUUUUGUUUGGUCUGAGCAUUAUUCCUCUCCUUGUACCUGCUGCUUAUUUACAUUCUAUUGUAUUCUUCGUCAGAAAAUUAAGCAGGAAUUAUGAUUGCAUUGAAUGUGAGAUCCUUUGAUCCGAAAGGGCCUUAACAAAUCAGUAAACAGAAUUGUGAAGUGUGAAGUGUGAAGUUUUUCUCUUUGUAAUCUUCGGGUACAAUUCUGCAACCAUAAUGGAGACUUGUUCUGUUACAAAAAAAAAAAAAAAAAUGGAGACUUGUUCACUCUUCUUUUGGGUGUACAAAGGUGGACAUCGAAAAUGAAAAAAAAAUAAAUUGGUGCUAGAAAAUAGUCUGAAUGUUAAUUUUGUUAUUAAAAUACUAAAAAAUAGAUCUUACAAAUCCUACCAAAUUCUCCUACUAAAUCUCCAUCAGAAUCUAUGAAUUCAAUUAAACCUCUCAAAAUUCCACAAAAACUUAAAUCUUCAAAACCUUCUCAAACCCCUAUUCCAAUAAGGCCCCCUAAGUUUGAUAUGAAUUUUGUUUUAUUAGAUCAACUGAGUUAAGAUCUCGAGUUCAAUUCCCGCUGGUGAAA
rnacentral:lncRNA from 1 species